CCGCCAUUGCUUCAAGCCGAUGAUUGCACACACUUCACUUCUACCCAAUUUCCGUUUUUCUCCGUCGGAUAGUAGAGUCAGGAAAUCGGGUAGGGGUAAAGUGUGCAGUCGUUGGCUUGAAGCAGUGGCGGUACCAAGGCCCUGUAUCCUGGAGGCAGCCUCAGACGCAUUCUAGUACAGAACUUGAAUUCUAUGGAAAGUACUGCUUUGACAAGUCACUGACUGGCCACGUGUGGUGCUGCCUGUAUAGCCAAUACAGUCCAUUUUAAGUGCCACUGGUUGUUGGCUUCGUAGUGGGAAAACGGGGAAGGGUGUUGAUUAUCUUUAAAGACUGCCUGUUGAGCAUUGCACCGAACUUCUGCUGCUAUUAUGGUUAUCUGUUCAGCAUACCAGCAUCGUACCAUUGAACCUCCCAUCGGGUAGAACAACUGCAAAGGUAACGUGAUGUAAGUUACAAUUAAUUAGAAAUAAUACUGUUCAGCAAUUUCUAAAGGAUACUUGUUUUCACAAUUCAAAGGGAUGUAGCAAUGGUUAUAUGCCUUUCCUGGGAUGCAGAAGGGAGGAUUGGGAACGUAAUGAUUUAUUUAUAGGUGCCACAUCUAAGGAACACCCGUUUUUGGCCUGGCUUCCCUCUUGGUGGUGAAGGUUAUUCCCAAGCUAACCAGCCAUUGUUGCACCUGGAAUCGUAUAAUGGCAAGCGGCAGGGAGGUAAAUACACAAGAAAGCUAAUACUAACUUUUGACGGCAGUAGUUUAUUGGAAAUUAAUUUGCAUCUUCAAUGCGGAGAAAAGUACUAGGUAUUCCUAUGCAAUAAAUGCAAUCUUGUAGCAUUUUGGCUUUAUGGCAAUUCAAUACUAAGUGAAAGAUUAAUUGAAUAUGGCUGAGGACAGGUUACUCUAUGCACAGCUUAACUCGUUGAUAAGUUAUGCUUUGUGCUCAAUUAACAAGGUUUUAGUCUUGACACUUAGAUGAUGACUUGUUCAUGCAUGUCAGUUGAAUAAUUUUUCUGUUUUGAAUGCUUGCCAACAGUAUACAGGAUUUUCCUUCCUAAAGCACCCUGAAGGAACAUGUAAAUUGAUGCUCUACAUCAGAGGUGUCUCGUUUUAAUUAGUGAGGUAUGACCAGAACUGUAUCGAUAUGGCUCUGGUCAUUUUAUAUAGUAUGGCUUGUUUCAUUGUGAAGGUUCAUUUUCAUUUGACAAUGUCUGCUCAUGGUAUGUAGUGCAUGAUGACAGGUAACUUAGCUUAGGAAACAUUAAUGAGUACUUACAGUCCGGGCUGUUGCAUCUGGUGUUUCAUACUGUGCAGUUUUACUUCAGUUAGUCUCCAGUACUGUCUGCACGUAGAGGUGAGCCACUGUGAUGCAGUUACUCAGUUUAUUAUGAAAUUUAUAAAAUGAUAGUCUGCAUUUGCCAGUUUUGCAUUAAUCUGUAAACUUGUGAAAUAAUUUUAAUAUUAGGCAAAGCCUUGCUAAGGAGCCACAUUGUUCCUCCUAACUCCCCACCCUGCUCAUGUGGGAAUUGGGGUCACAUUUAAUGGAAGACAAAACAUUAUUUUGAGGUUAGGCAUACUGUACUGAUUUAUGGUGUAUCCCUUGGCAUUUUGAAUAUGGUUUAACCUUUGAUGAAGAUUAGCUUGAGCUGAAAAGUCUUAUGCUGUGUGAGGGGGCAUGUAUGCACCUUUUUCCAAUUUGUUCAUUUGUCUAACAUUUCAUCUGGAUAUAGCACUGGCUCUGUGCAAAUGUUUUUUGAUGCUAAAUGACUUGCAUAGUUAUAAAGGAAUGAUAUCAGUUUAACAGUAAUUGUCUGCUUACUGAGUAGUAGCACUGGUGUUGGUGGUGUGCUUUCAGCUGUUGGCUUUGGCAAAUACUUGACUUUGAAAACUGGAUAAGUACAUGACACAUUAUCCCAAACAUAAGGAAUUAGUAGAUCAGUGCUAUAUAAAUUUACUUGGUAUACUCACCUUGUUUGCCACUACAAUGCCUAACAAACAACAAUUCAAGCAAAGUUCAGAUUCGGGCCGAUUUCCAUAGAUUGUAGUGAGGUUGGGGAGGGGGGGGCACAAUUCACAUGUUUCUUUUCAGGCUCGUCCUGAACUAAGGUUUCUUCUUGAAAAUACAACUUGCGUCUGAUCCAUGUUGCAGCAGGCGAGGUAAUCUUGGAGUUGCUUUGUAAUUGUUGCUACAAUGGUGUUUUGUGAAGUGUUGAUUGCAUAUUAAUUUUAUUUAGGGUUGAAAGUCUAUACAUUAAGUACGUGAGGGUGGGAGGGGGGCAAUUUGAUUUUUAUUUCCACAGUUUGAAUUUCAUCGUGAUCGUCACUUGUUCAUCGUUUACUCUUUCGUCAUAAUGAGGUAACCAGUUGUUCAGUUUAUGGAUGCAUAAAACAUUGAUAUUUUCAAUAUUAAGUGAAGAAAAGUAUAAGGAGAUUUAAAGUGAAUGUAACUUGUAAUUUAAAGCUUAAAUGGGGAGGGUGUUAAAUGUUCUACAUAUCUAAUGUGUAUUCGGAACUUCAAAAUAUCAAUCCAGCACAGAUAGGAGGGUGAGGGGCAACUAAAAGGUAUCUUUUCAGUUCCCAGAAGUUAUUGCUGUGGCUGGAUUUACCCCAUAUUAAUUGGUUAUUGCUUCAAAUAAGGUAACCAGUGUUGACAGUAUACUUCAUUUAGGAUUUAGGAGGUACAAAUCUUUCAAUGAUUGAAAAUCAUUCAAAAGCCUGUGUCAGUUUCAGUGUCAUUAACAAAAACUUUAAAUGAUCAGCACCAAUAGGAGGGAAAGAUAUUAUUCUUGGGGGUGGGGUAGAACUAAUUGUCUUUUCAGACUUUCGUGGACUUCAUUAACGCAACAUUGCUACGAAUGAGGUAACCAGCUUUGUACUGAUGAAAAAAUACUUGACUAUCUUUUGGAAAAUUUAUCCUAAAUUUGUGGGUGCACACGGGAGGGUAAUUUUUUGAGGGGUGGGCGGGGCAACUAAGUGUUUCUUUUGAGAUUUACAGAUGUUUAUUUGUUCAUUAUUGACUACAGUAAACAUCAAUUGAGAAAAACUCCAAUUGAGGUAACUAGUAUUGUUAAUGUUCUACUUGACUUGCUUGGAUGGGACUAAUUCCUGCAUUUGGAGAUGGGGUGUGACCAUUGUUUUUCAGACUUGGGGAAUUUUCAUUUGCUCAGUAUGGUUUUAUUGUACAUUCAAUUCUCAGAAUAGUAUUGAAUGGUUAAUCCACUUGAUUUCAUUAACUGACAUCUAUUGAAUUAGCUCAGAAUCUAAUGUCUUCUGGCAUUCAGUAAUUGAAUGGAGUUCCUUUACUCAAUGAGAUUACCACUUAUUUAAUUGGUCUGAUUUACUGUGGAUUUACUAGGGAAUUCAAAUCCUAAAAGUUACGAUUAAAAUAUUUAGUAGAUCUUGCAUAGAUUUUACAUUGCUACUUUUUCUUUGGGGGGGGGGCAACUAAUGCUGUCUUUUCAGGCUGGCAUGGACAUAACACUUGUUCAACAUUUGCUUUGCUCUACAUCUUUUAAUUAGUUUCUCCUAGAAGGUAACCUGUUUUCCGCCUGUGUUGAUAUUGUAUAAUUUUAUUACCAAAUUUAGUUCUGUGCUGAAAAUAUAGUUUAAAAAAAUGAACUUAUAAUUGAGGAGAAGAUUUGGGGGACAGGGGGUGUGGCAGCUAAACAUGUCUUUUCAGAAUUCUCUGGUUUCAUAAAUACAACAUAUUCACUGAACAUCCCGUAGUUGCUCCAGAUAAGGUAACUCCUGAUAAUUUUUUUCUCUGGUAUUUCAGUAGCAACAAGUUCUAUGAAUAUAACUGAAAUUUUACACAAAUAAUGGAAGGGCAACAUUUUGGGGGGUGGACGGGUGGGGGCAACUAAGUCUUGUCUUUACAAUUCUUCAGAGACAUCAUUUGCUCAGCAGUGGAUUUAUUAUUCAUCCCAUUUAUUGCUCCAAAUGAGGUAAAAGUUUCAUAUUUAAUCUCAGUUUUAGAUUCCCAGUAACUUAAAUAACAUGAAGAUUGAGAACUCAAAGGAUUCUGUUUAGUAUGUAAAAAAAAUAAUAAUUUCACAAGUUUUAGUAUGAUCAAACUAUCAUGCUCUUUAUGGAUUUUGUUGACGAUCAAACUGCCUCAUUAAAUAAAUUUUUAACUACCACAUUAAAGCAGUUAAUUGAUUUUGAAUUUAAAUAACUAAAUGUUGGUAGUAGAUAGGUAGGAUGUUUAUUUGUAGGUGCUUGAGGAGUAGAGGAUGCAGCAUUCGGUGGGAAAAGUAGCACCAUUUGGCCAAUGACUUCAGUGUUAAUAAGAUUUGCACUACCUACAUUCAGUGAAGAUUCUUGACCUACAUUGUUAGGUGUUCUUUUAUUGUUGAAAAUAGUACUGCUUAUAUAUAAAUAAGUUUUUAAUGGUAAAGAUUUAAAUAAUGUUACAGGAACUAUAUUAUUGCUAUUAUGUGAUGGUAGUUAAAAGACAAGCAUGAGAUACUUAAACUUGCCUGUGAAUAUGAUGUUAAUGAUGUCAUGUUGCCACAUUGCAUAUAGAAAUAUUCAGUUGCUUUGGAAGUUGCCCAUUUGUUAUUGGGAAAAAACUCAAGCAUUUAGGAAAAAACAUUAUCAUAAACACUGUGAACUUAGAGGAAAUGGAGCUUGAAUUAUCAUAUUUGUUCAUAUCAAGUUUAUCAUUGUCAUAUAGACUGAUAAUUCAGUUGCUGGUCACUCUUCUCUCAGCUGUAUAGUGGCUAUCAAGAAGAGUGGGAAAGUGGGUGGGGCAUUUCCUCUAAGUAAAAAUUAAGUAAUUUAUAAACUAGCAUCGUUAAAGGAAUGUGUCACCGGCAUCAUCUUCAGGAGCAUUUAUCUAGUCUAGGAUUGUAUUGAAGGGGAGGUAGCUGAAGGACUGAUUAGCUGAAGGACUGAUAGUUAUCGUCAAGGAGAGGGAGAGAAGAUGAAAUCUAGCAUUAUAGCUGUCUGAUAUCCAUUAUAUUAAGGUAA